rnacentral:rRNA from 1 species
UACGUAGGGGGCAAGCGUUAUCCGGAAUUACUGGGUGUAAAGGGUGAGUAGGCGGCAUGGUAAGCCAGAUGUGAAAGCCUUGGGCUUAACCCGAGGAUUGCAUUUGGAACUAUCAAGCUAGAGUACAGGAGAGGAAAGCGGAAUUCCUAGCGUAGCGGUGAAAUGCGUAGAUAUUAGGAAGAACACCAGUGGCGAAGGCGGCUUUCUGGACUGAAACUGACGCUGAGGCACGAAAGCGUGGGGAGCGAACAGG